rnacentral:rRNA from 1 species
AUUGAACGCUGGCGGCAGGCUUAACACAUGCAAGUCGAGCGGGGAUAGGGUGCUUGCACCUGAUUCCUAGCGGCGGACGGGUGAGUAAUACUUAGGAAUCUGCCUAUUAGUGGGGGACAACGUUCCGAAAGGAGCGCUAAUACCGCAUACGUCCUACGGGAGAAAGCAGGGGACCUUCGGGCCUUGCGCUAAUAGAUGAGCCUAAGUCGGAUUAGCUAGUUGGUGGGGUAAAGGCCUACCAAGGCGACGAUCUGUAGCGGGUCUGAGAGGAUGAUCCGCCACACUGGGACUGAGACACGGCCCAGACUCCUACGGGAGGCAGCAGUGGGGAAUAUUGGACAAUGGGGGGAACCCUGAUCCAGCCAUGCCGCGUGUGUGAAGAAGGUCCUUUUGGUUGUAAAGCACUUUAAGCGAGGAGGAGAGUACUUUGGUUAAUAGCUAGAUGUACUGGACGUUACUCGCAGAAUAAGCACCGGCUAACUCUGUGCCAGCAGCCGCCGUAA